AAACGAGGCUAAGAAGAAGAUAGCAUUAAAUUAAGGAAGAGAGCAACUACGAGCGAUGAAAGCGGAAGAUUGAAUAUGAAUAAAAGAAGGACGCAACAAAAUGAAAGAUGAGAGCUGCUAGCAAGCAGAAGCGCGGAACUAAGCAAGUCUUUCUUGUCGCCCGAGGAAUGAAAGAAAGAACAGGCGCGUAGCAGCUCAAUUGAAAAGGCGAGGAGCCUGAAGUCGACCCGAGGUAUUGGGAGUGAUCCCCUUCUCUCGAGACAAAGAAAAGAACACAAAAGGAAUAUCGGCUUAGCGUCUUCUACCUUAAUAUACGCG
rnacentral:misc_RNA from 1 species